rfam:Bombyx mori DNA, contig: Bm_scaf9_contig7493, strain: p50T/Dazao, build 2, whole genome shotgun sequence.
ACAACAUUCGGACCGUCGGUCUACCGAGCAAUAUCACCCGCUCGGUGGAAGAUCUUCCCUUUGUUGU